rnacentral:misc_RNA from 1 species
CAGGCCUGCAAGAUACAACACCAUGAUUGUCACUAAAUUACAUAAAAUUAAGAGCUUAAAAAUGGAGAACUUUAGGACUUGGGAAAGGACACUUCAUUUGUAAUUCGUUAGCAUAUUUAAUAAAGUUGCAUAAAAUGAAGGUACGCAGGCAGCAAUAAUAAGGCAACAGAAUCUGGACCAUUGAGGAGGAGAGAGAAAGGGGGGAGAGAAGGGAGGGGGGUUGUGGGUGUAAUACUAGUGAGUCUCUCAUACCCAGAGUUUAUGAUUUGG